AUGGAACGCUGGCGGCAGGCUUAACACAUGCAAGUCGAGCGGAGAUGAGGUGCUUGCACCUUAUCUUAGCGGCGGACGGGUGAGUAAUGCUUAGGAAUCUGCCUAUUAGUGGGGGACAACAUUCCGAAAGGAAUGCUAAUACCGCAUACGUCCUACGGGAGAAAGCAGGGGAUCUUCGGACCUUGCGCUAAUAGAUGAGCCUAAGUCGGAUUAGCUAGUUGGUGGGGUAAAGGCCUACCAAGGCGACGAUCUGUAGCGGGUCUGAGAGGAUGAGCCGCCACACUGGGACUGGGACACGGCCCAGACUCCUACGGGAGGCGGCAGUGGGGAAUAUUGGACAAUGGGGGGAACCCUGAUCCAGCCAUGCCGCGUGUGUGAAGGAGGCCUUAUGGUUGUAAAGCACUUUAAGCGAGGAGGAGGCUACUGAGACUAAUACUCUUGGAUAGUGGACGUUACUCGCAGAAUAAGCACCGGCUAGCUCUGUGCCAGCAGCCGCCGUAAAAC
rnacentral:rRNA from 1 species